rnacentral:rRNA from 1 species
UACGUAGGGUGCAAGCGUUAAUCGGAAUUACUGGGCGUAAAGCGUGCGCAGGCGGUUGUGCAAGACAGAUGUGAAAUCCCCGGGCUCAACCUGGGAAUUGCAUUUGUGACUGCACGGCUAGAGUGUGUCAGAGGGGGGUAGAAUUCCACGUGUAGCAGUGAAAUGCGUAGAGAUGUGGAGGAAUACCGACUGGCGAAGGCAGCCCCCUGGGAUAACACUGACGCUCAUGCACGAAAGCGUGGGGAGCAAACAGG